rnacentral:rRNA from 1 species
AUUGAACGCUGGCGGCAUGCCUUACACAUGCAAGUCGAACGGUAGAGUAGCAAUACUUGAGAGUGGCGAACGGGUGAGUAAUAUAUCGGAACGUGCCCAGUCGUGGGGGAUAACGUAGAGAAAUUUACGCUAAUACCGCAUACGAUCUAAGGAUGAAAGCGGGGGAUUCGCAAGAACCUCGCGCGAUUGGAGCGGCUGAUAUCAGGAUUAGGUUGUUUGGUGAGGUAAAAGCUCACCAAGCCGACGAUCUGUAGCUGGUUUGAGAGAACGACCAGCCACACUGGGACUGAGACACGGUCCCAGACUCCUACGGGAGGCAGCAGUGGGGAAUAUUGGACAAUGGGCGAAAGCCUGAUCCAGCCAUGCCGCGUGUGUGAAGAAGGUCUUCGGAUUGUAAAG